rnacentral:lncRNA from 1 species
CCAACCUCCAUCCCUGUAAGGAAAACAAACUAAUGGGAUGAACAAAAACUCAGUGAGGUUCCCAAACAAGCAAUCAAGCAGGCAUACACGAAAACAUUUACAUUUAACACUUUGCACACUUGGCACAAUAAUAUACAGUCAUUCAAGAGUCAAUCAUUCAUUCAUUGAAAGGAUACGUGCUCACUUAGAGCCAUUCAUUCAUUCAUUCGCCAACCAUUUUUCUUAUCCUUCCGACAUUAGAAAACAUUUGCAAGUGAAAACUCCUUCAGUGUUCAUGUCAUUCAUUCAUUUAUUUUUAUUGUAUUGAAUUCACUGGCCAGUUCUCCACUAGAUUUCGUGGUAAUAUUCAAGUAUACCAGACAUUGUCUCAGGGUCACUAGCCGCCUGACCAAGUCCGUUUCUGAGUCAAGUCAACUGGCAAUGAAAGGCAAGGGCCUAGUUCAGCCAAAAGGCUUACAUUUAUGCACAAGUAGCAUUCAAUCAUUGAAAAUUCACUUUUACGUAGGUCGAGUGCGAUAAAGUACACACUCGCCCAUUGAAAAUUCAUUUAGCAAUCAUUGGAAAGCAUUUAAUAUUUAGACAACAUUCCACAUAGUCAUUAACACUCACCAACGAUUAGUGUUUAGCAAAAUCAGGUUGAGGCCCAGCUCCUUGGCCAGAUUCUAAAUUUGCGAUCAAAUAUUGAAUAACAAAAUACAAUCAAGUAAGGUUUCCAAAUAUCCAACCCUCACUUGUGAAUAUCACAUGGAGAUCAUGUGAAUAGAACUUAUAUACAUAGACUUCAUGGCUUAUUAACUCCAGGCAAAAUACAUGCAUGCUUGCCUUUGUUCUAGAAAGAAAACAAUCGAAACUUUCAAGUUUAAAACAUGACAUACGCAACUAAAAAUAAUGUUUUAAAAUGGUCAUUAUUUUCACCUUGCAAAAUAUAUAAUUUUGGCGAAAUUUCAGGUACAUAUCACCACCAACGUUAACUCAAACAUUCCUAAACAAAUGAAGUCCAAAUCGAUUACAAAGCACACCUCCAUGUCCACUUUUACUCACUUAUCUUUCAAGAAAUGAAAUGGAUAACAAUUCCCCUAUUCUACCUUCAAUUUUUUUCUCCAAUUUUUCAAACUAAACUAUAUGGCAAAACAACCCAAAUCAACUCCACAACUCAUAAGAAAAAAAGGGGUUCGUACACUAGAUUACAAAACCAACUAAUUUAGACUUAUCUCUAGCAUACAAACAUAAUACCUCUACGCUGGAAAAUUAAACCCUAGGCUGGAAAUUUACAAACUAAAGCUGAAAAAUUAUAAUUUAAGGCUGAAAAUUUUGAUUGAAAGCUGGAAAUCCCUACACCCAAGUUAAAAAUCACAUUUCAAAUCUUACUAUGUUAUGUCAAAGCUAGAAAGUCCCAUGUGAACGCUGAAAAAUCCAUAUACAUAAUAAAUUUAUGAUCCAAGUAUGAAAUGGAGUACAAUUAAUCGAGAAAGUUAGGUUUAAAAAUCAAAAAAUAUUUCCAUGACCCUUCCAAGUUUUUUGUCAUUUCGCAAGAAAAAUUUCAGUUUUUGUAAUGCUCUUUGAAAAGUCAUAACUUGAGUUUUGUAAGUUCAAAAAUCAUAAAUCUUAUACCUUUAGAAAAUAGACUCAAAAGAUUACAACUCCCUAUAAGACACCUUCAUAAAAUUCAACCCAUAAAUUAGUCAAAUCUCAGCCUCAAUUCACUGCUAAAUUAAGUGCAAAAACAGGACAGUCUUGGAUUUUCAACCCAUUUUGAAAUUUUGCUGGUAUUUAUAGAAAAUGAACCCACCCAUGAAGUUUACACGGUUAAAAGAGCUAUGAGUCUAAUUUCAAAUGCAACAAAUGGAACUCAAUUCAGAUUUUUCUAUACCAAGAUAUAACAGAUUUUCCAAAACUGAUUAAAGUAUCCUGCUGGAAAAAUUUUCAGCAGCGCUUUCCCUUAUUUUUCCUAAUUUUCAGCCAUUUUCAAGGCUUCAUUCUCACCACAAAACAGUCUCAACUCAAGCAUAUACAUACCAGACUACCAACUCACUAAAUCAAGCAUAUACAUGCCAUUGAACCCUCACAACUCCAUGUAUAUAUAAAGCUUCAAGUAACUACAUCAAGGCUGGAAAUUUUACCAAACCUAACAAUACCAUGAUAGUUAUUAUAAAAGUCAUGCCUUUUACCUUAUAAAGUAUCAUCCAUCAAGUAGAUACAAAGACAAGUGGAAAAGAUAAGGUGGCUAUCAAGUUUACCUCUUAAAUCCCACAAAACAAUGCUGGAAAAUCACAACACAACCUGAAAAUCAUGAAAUCCACCAUACAAAUCCUUCCUUUAACUUCUAUAACAUCAUAUAUCAAAGAAACUCAAAGAUAAUGGAGGAUUUCUAGCAAAGUUCUUCUCUUUGCCUCCGAAACUUAGACGGACAGCCAAGCAAGAAGU